CCUUAGCGACCUGAAUGCCUGUCCACUCCCCGGUCAUGGCACCAACCCCACCACCAGCGGUUCGCCUGAUGU
rnacentral:sRNA from 1 species